rnacentral:rRNA from 1 species
CGGACGGGUGAGUAACGCGUGGGUAACCUGCCUCACACUGGGGGAUAACAGUUAGAAAUAGCUGCUAAUACCGCAUAAGCGCACGGUUCCGCAUGGAACAGUGUGAAAAACUCCGGUGGUGUGAGAUGGACCCGCGUCUGAUUAGCCAGUUGGCGGGGUAACGGCCCACCAAAGCGACGAUCAGUAGCCGGCCUGAGAGGGUGAACGGCCACAUUGGGACUGAGACACGGCCCAG